rnacentral:rRNA from 1 species
CCCUUAGAUGUUCUGGGCCGCACGCGUGCUACACUGAGUGGAUCAGCGGGUCAGGUUGCGCGAAAGUGUUUCCUAAUCUUGAAAUCCGCUCGUGAUGGGGAUUGACGGUUGCAAUUUUCCGUCAUGAACGAGGAAUACCUUGUAAGCGCGGGUCAUCAUCCCGCGCUGAAUACGUCCCUGCCCUUUGUACACACCGCCCGUCGCUCCUACCGAUUGAGUGGUCCGGUGAGGCUUUGGGAUCUGAGCAAAAAGAGCGUUUCGCUCGUUUGGCUUGGAAAACUCAGUCGAACCUUAUCAUUUAGAGGAAGGAGAAGUCGUAACA